AUGCGGCGGGCUCGGGGCGCGGCGCUGCCGGCACUGGCCGCGCUGAUCUUCGUGGCUGCUGUCAAAGCCCAAGUGGAGCAGGAGCCAUUCCUGGAGACCGUUGAAGGCACCAGCAUCAGAAUCAAGUGCUCUCACCCCAAUAUCCGGAUGGGCGAUUUCAUUCACUGGUAUCGUCAGCUGCCGGGCAAAGGGCCCGAACUCGUGGUGUUCACUGCUAAAGUGUCCAAGGAGGUGCGAUCCCCUGAAGGGCGCCUGACGGUGUCGGCAGAUCGGCGCUCGAGCGCGCUGUGGCUCGGGCGGCCCCGGCGCGGGGACGCGGCCGUGUAUUACUGCGCGCUGGGGCCACGGGCAGAGGAGCCGGGGCUGCGGCCGGGCACGAACCGCCGCGGGCGGGGCCGGGCGGGGCCAGCAGGGGGCGCUGCCGCUCCGCCCGCCGGGGCCGCCUCGCCCCGCUCGGCCCGGGCUGCGGCACCGGGACCGGCACCGGAACCGGGAGAGCAGCAGGUGUUGGACUUGGCAGAGUCAACUUCUGCAUCUCAUGUUCCCAAGGCUCCAGUGUGGCUGGGGGAAGAGCGAUCAGAGUUUGCUGAGAGUGGGAGAUGUCCACCUUGA